rnacentral:rRNA from 1 species
GCAAGUCGAACGAGAACGGAUUUUAGUUUACUAUAAUUGUCAGCUAAGUGGCGCACGGGUGAGUAAUAUAUAGUUAAUCUGCCCCAAAGAAGAGAAUAAUUUUUGGAACGACUUGUAAUGCUCUAUAUGCCUUUAUCACAGAAGUGAGCAAGGGAAAUAUUUAUAGCUUUGGGAUGAGACUGUACGGUAUCAGAUAGUUGGUGAGGUAAUGGCUCACCAAGUCAAUGAUGCAUAACUGGGUUGAGAGGAUGAUC